rnacentral:miRNA from 1 species
UUUCAGUUCCUAUCUGGAACUUUCAUCAGGAUCAAACAUGAGAUAAGAUGUUUGAUCCUGAUGAAAGUUCCAGAUAGGAACU